AGUUUCUCCCAAGAGAACCCUAGUAUGUAGCCUAAUCCAAGCCAGCCCAAUUAGCCAGGAUUCUGAUGUCAAACAUCCAAUGUGCUCAAACCCUUUAUGCAUAUGAACCUUAAGCCCAAAUUUUGUCAAGCCUGGACCCAAAUCUAAUUGAACCAAAUCCCAUUUGAUUCAAAUUGAAUUUAGCCAUAAUUAAUUUGAUCCAAUCAAAUUAAGAUAUGUAACAUUUGCAUAUCAGUCCUCCUUAAACUUGCUACUAUUGAUGUAGAAAUCUAUCUCA
rnacentral:lncRNA from 1 species